GCUGCUUAUAACUGAAGUGUGCAGAUCCUUUCUUUGUUUGUCUCAGACCAUGUUUCUUGAGUACUCCUCUCCUGUGUAGCAGCUUAUGGCUUGCAAUGGAAUGGCCGCCUCCUCUUCCUCCUCCUUCCCCUCUUCCAAUUCCCUCCUUCCACCCAAUGCAGGGAUAAGUCCAAUUCCCGGAAAGAGGUGUGUGACCUUUGAUGAGAUGAUGAAUGAGCACGAAUUGUCGGACGACGAUGAGUCAGCGGUCGGAGAGAAGAAGAAGAAAAGGCUGAGCAUAGAGCAGGUGAGGACAUUGGAGAGGAGCUUUGAGCUAGGGAACAAACUCGAACCUGAGAGGAAGGUGCAGCUGGCCAAGGCCCUCGGCCUGCGGCCGAGGCAGGUGGCCAUUUGGUUCCAAAACCGGAGGGCGAGGUCGAAGUCCAAGCAAUUGGAGAAGGAUUAUGAUGUGCUCAAGAGGCAGUUUGAGGCCAUGAGGACAGAAAAUGACUCCCUCCUUGACCGAAACAAGAAGCUCCAAGCUGAGAUUUUGGCACUCAGAGGCAGAGAAACAUCUGAUGAUCUCAUCAUCAAUCUCAACAAGGAAACUGAAGGUUCCUGGAGCAACAGAAGUGAGAACAUCUCAGAGAUUAACUUGGAGAUCUCAAGAACAAUUUUGCCUGCCUUACAAUCACUCGAGCAAACUGAUCACAUGGACCACAAACCAGCUUCAGCAGAAACCAGCUUCAGCAGCUUGCUGUGUAACAUGGGAGACGAUCAAUCUGUGUUCUGGCCAUGGACAGACCACCACCACAGCUUCCAUUAGUAGUCUUCAUUCAUGGCGAAUUGUGAAAAUUGCUAUACUGUUUUGCAGACUUGAGUUUGGAGUUUCAAGUCAUUAUGUGUAUAUAGCCAGAAGCCUUCCAGGGAGGAAUAGAGUCAAAGAUACAGCUCAAGGGAACAGAGUUCCUUGCACCCUUCCAAGAGUCAGAAUUGGAUGGCUCACAACUUUGAGGAAGACAGCACCCUUGAUAAUCACUUGACCAUCAUUUUCCUACUGCUUUCAGAUUAUUUUCUGCAAAUUUCAUGCAAUGCUAUGCCAAAUGUCAUACACAUAUCAAAUUAAAGUGAAACAUUUGGUAGCAAUUUAUAGAUAGUUGGAGUUAAACUAGCUAGUUAGUUCAUUACACGCCUCUUGUAUGAACUGCUGAUCAAGUGAAUU